GUACAUUCCUAUGUCUUAAGGAGGCUGAAUUUCAAUGCCAAAUUCUUGUUACUGCUAAAUUUUGGGAGCAGCAGCAGUGGAUAGGGCAAUGAUGGGCAACUUUUUGCGCUUGGUGUGUCAAAAUUCACCAAAAAACCUAGCAUGACUUGGGUGGUGUGUCUGUUAUGGUUGAGCCUUCGGGCUCCGAUAAUAGAAGAAGGGGGCAUAAGACUCCUCGAGAGUCAGACUCUUUCGAGGAGCGUGAACGAAAACGGCUCCGGGAUUUGUUUACAGACCCGACAGAUGAGGACUCAUUUGAGGGUUUUUCUGAGGGUUUGGAGGAAGAGAUGGCCAGCUCGGAGGAGGAUGACAUGGAAUGGACUCAUGUGAGGGAGGAUUUGGGUGUUGGGGAAACAGGCAAUGAAAGCAUGGGAGGUGAGUGGCGGGUUGCAGGAUCAGACCCAUGGACUGGCUGGAGGGAUGGAGCGGGAUCCACAGCUGGGGAUGCUGUGGGGCGUAGUCAAAGGUGCUUUAGCUCUGAUGAGGAUGAUGAGUUUGGGGCGCCUGGAAUUGGGAUGGCAGCUGACAGCGAUGAUGAGCUUGAACUGGGAUAAAUUGGGGUUUGGGAUCAAUGUCUAAUUGCGUUGGGCAAGGUAAUCUGGACGGACGCUUGGGCUUUUGUUGGGGAACUUCCUGAAGACGGGUGUGAUUCGUUGCUGGAUACCUUGGACCUCCGUCGUCUUUUUGACGGGCAAUACCUACUCACACUGGAUUGACGCUGGACUGACUGACUUCGAUUCUGGAUUAUCCCUUCUGCUGCUUAUCAGUGAGACCUUUGGAUUCCUAGACGGCUACGUUUGGCUAUUGACCUCUGGACCGGAUUGGGACCCUGCUGACUGCCGUUUCCCUGACUGCUGAGCCUGGACCUGGAUAUCGUUGGCUGUUGAACCUUAAAUUGAAUCCUGACUACGACCACGUUUUCCUUCGCUGCAGGGAGGAAUAAACAAGCCUGGUUUAGUCUCCUGCUGUUUCUGAGUAGCAGAGAGGAAUCUGCUACCAGUCUGUUGUUUACAUUCUGACUCCUGUUGAUCCUCCUUUGUUUGCAUUGUUUGCCAGGCUGAAGUAAGCACUUUUGAUUUAAUCUGGAUUAUACUUCUGUUUAACCCGGUUUUUUCCCUUUGAGUUGUUUAAGCUCAAUCUGAGUUGUUUUUGUGUUACCUAUCACACUGAAGUCAAGUGUUUGCCCUGUUCUUUGUCUCCUACGGGCAUUUUUAGUUCUGUAAUCUCAAUAAACUGAGUUUUGCUUUA